CAGCAGCCGCGGUAAUACGUAGGGUGCAAGCGUUAAUCGGAAUUACUGGGCGUAAAGCGUGCGCAGGCGGUUCGUUAAGACAGAUGUGAAAUCCCCGGGCUUAACCUGGGAACUGCAUUUGUGACUGGCGGGCUAGAGUAUGGCAGAGGGGGGUAGAAUUCCACGUGUAGCAGUGAAAUGCGUAGGGAUGUGGAGGAAUACCGAUGGCGAAGGCAGCCCCCUGGGCCAAUACUGACGCUCAUGCACGAAAGCGUGGGGAGCGAACGGGAUUAGAUACCCCGGUAGUCCCUGUCUCUUAUAC
rnacentral:rRNA from 1 species